CAGUAGCCGCGGUAAUACGUAGGCGGCAAGCGUUGUCCGGAAUUAUUGGGCGUAAAGGGAGCGCAGGUGGGACGGUAAGUCCGUCUUAAAAGGCAGGGGCUCAGCCCCUGUAAGGGAUGGAAACUAUCGAUCUUGAGUGCCGGAGAGGAAAGUGGAAUUCCCAGUGUAGCGGUGAAAUGCGUAGAUAUUGGGAAGAACACCAGUGGCGAAGGCGGCUUUCUGGACGGCAACUGACACUGAGGCUCGAAAGCCAGGGGAGCGAACGGGAUUAGAUACCCCCGUAGUCCCUGUCUCUUAUACA
rnacentral:rRNA from 1 species